UCCACACCCAUAUGUGUAGGACCCCAAAGGAUCACCAUUAAAUUUUGCAUAGAUCUAUAGAAAAGUUAUCACAUGGGUGUGGAACUUGAUUUUUUUAGAGAUCUGUGCCAAAUUUAAUGGUGAUCCUUUGGAGUCCUGCACACAUGGGUGUGGG
rfam:Amborella trichopoda AMTR_V1.0_contig_769, whole genome shotgun sequence.